rnacentral:rRNA from 1 species
AGUGAACGCUGGCGGUAGGCCUAACACAUGCAAGUCGAACGGCGGCACAGUAAGAGCUUGCUCUUACGGGUGGCGUGUGGCGGACGGGUGAGGAAUACAUCGGAAUCUACUUUUUCGUGGGGGAUAACGUAGGGAAACUUACGCUAAUACCGCAUACGACCUACGGGUGAAAGCAGGGGAUCUUCGGACCUUGCGCGAUUGAAUGAGCCGAUGUCGGAUUAGCUAGUUGGCGGGGUAAAGGCCCACCAAGGCGACGAUCCGUAGCUGGUCUGAGAGGAUGAUCAGCCACACUGGAACUGAGACACGGUCCAGACUCCUACGGGAGGCAGCAGUGGGGAAUAUUGGACAAUGGGCGCAAGCCUGAUCCAGCCAUACCGCGUGGGUGAAGAAGGCCUUCGGGUUGUAAAGCCCUUUUGUUGGGAAAGAAAAGCAGCAGGUUAAUACCCCGCUGUUCUGACGGUACCCAAAGAAUAAGCACCGGCUAACUUCGUGC